CAUAACCGUGCGAAGGUAGCAUAAUAAAUUGUUCUCUAAAUAGGGACUAGUAUGAAAGGCACCACGAGGGCUUAACUGUCUCCCUUUUCCAAUUAAUGAAACUGAUCUUCUCGUGAAGAAGCGAGAAUAAAAAUAUAAGACGAGAAGACCCCAUGGAGCUUUAAACUCAUCAUCAUUUACUUUUUUCACAUCAUCACAUAUAGUAAAAAUGUUAACUGAUAGUUUUCGGCUGGGGUGACCCUGGAGAAAAACAAAUCCUCCAGGAUGAACGGAAUAAUAAUCCUAAUCAAAGAGUCACAACUCUAAGAAUCAAAACAUUGACAUCAUUUGAUCCAAUUACUUGAUCAACGAACCAAGUUACCCUGGGGAUAACAGCGCAAUCCAUUUCAAGAGCCCCUAUCGACAAAUGGGUUUACGACCUCGAUGUUGGAUCGGGGUAUCCCAGUGGCGCAGCCGCUACUAAAGGUUCGUUUGUUCAACGAUUAACAA
rnacentral:rRNA from 1 species